UCUUCUUCUGACAUGUUGAAGCCAUCACGCCGACAUUGAUUUCAGCUACUAUAAAAACCUACAUCAAGGACAAUCUGAUGCUCUAAUUACUGUAAACAGUGAUAACAGCAGCACAAACCAACUCAGAGUUUCUGUAGUUGCAAGUGUCUUUUAUUGUUUUCUCAGACACAACAGAGCACAUAACCCAGAGCACAAGGGGACUACAAGGUGAUGAGAGAUGACAUCCUGUGAUGGAGGAGAAUGACUGAUCCAACAUCUGGACACAGAUCUCAGCACUCAAGAUGAGCAAAGCAAUUCAGUGGAGGUUUCGUUUUUUCUUGCAAUAACAAAUUGUACGUGCACAUCUUAUUUGCAAUAUUAAAAAACACAUUUCUAUAAAUUAUUGUUAAUGUCAUCGGUGGAGUCUCCCAUCAGCUGGUGGCUCUGACAUCAGCCAGCUACACUUCUGUCAGGUUCAGUCCAGAUGUUCAGUGAUGAUUAUUUUCUCUUCCUCUACAGUACAAAUCUUCAGCUCUAUGUUCAAGUGAUUUCAGCUGUCAAUAAACUGGGACAUCUCUGCAAAAUAAAACGCUUCAACGACACGAGUCAAAGCUAUAUUUUGAUCAAACACAGGUGUGCAGCCAACACAGCACUGGAAACGACAGGAGAUGAAAUCACUCAGAGUGUAAACAGCAAAUAUUACAACUCAACCUGAUCCACAGCAAAGACAGCAAUCAGUUGUAGUCCUCAACAAUUUCACAUGUAAGAAAGAAGAAUGCUACAUAAGCUUCGUGUGUGUGUGUGUGUGUGUGUGUGUGUGUGUGUGUGUGUGUGUGUGUGUGUGUGUGUGUGUGUGUGUGUGUGUGUGUGUGCGUGUGUAUAUAUAUAUGUAUAUACACUACCGUUCAAAAGUUUGGGGUCAUCCAGACAACUUCAUGUUUUCCAUGAAAACUCCCACUUUUAUCCAUGUGCUAACACAACUGCACAAGGGUUUUCUAAUCAUCAAUGAGCCUUUCAACACCAUUAGCUAACACAAUGUAGCAUUAGAACACAGGAG
ensembl:lncRNA